rnacentral:lncRNA from 1 species
UCCGUGAUGGCUCUAUAAAUGUGUUCGUCAAAAAGCAGCUAGUUCUAAGUGCCAAACACAAAGAACGAAGGAACCAUGGCUGCUCUGAAAGCUCUCAUAUGCGUCGUGUUACUACUUGGAGUCAUCGGCUUCGCCUCCCCUCACAUCUCGGCGGGGCGUAUCGCUCCGGUGGUUGCUCCGGCAGUCCAUUGUGCAUCGACUGCCGAACCGAGCAUCGUAUCUACUGUAACAGGUGAGUUUAAUUGUUACUUAGUUUUUUUUGCACAAGCUCGUACGUGACCCUUGCCGCUCGUACGUGACCCUUGCAGCGGCCGUGAUAUCUAUCUGCUAUGAAUAAGAGGAUGCAGUGGUAGCGCUCCAGCUGCCACAGAAGAGAAGGGACUGCUGCCUUCGAGAGGCAUCUUCCUUCCGCCCUGCCUCCCGCCGUCGCGUGGAAACCUGCUGAAAGUUCCACUAGGAAGCACCCCCUAAGGUGAAGGAAAAAUAAGAUGGAACCAGUAAGUCAUAAUAUUGAAUAAUGAUGUAACAGUUCUGGUUAUCGUGCAUGUAUGCCACCAUGGGGAGCCACGUAUGUUUCAAUUCACUGGUCUGUUCCAACAUACUCCUAUAUGUUUUAAUAGCAACUCGAUCGUUGGAAUGUUACAUCGAAUUUAUUAGCAGAAGUUUUUAUGCUAGCCCCGGUGAAACAUUCGAUCAAAUUUCUUGCUACAAAUUCUUAUGCUCCAAAUUUAGCACUAAAAGAAAUUUUGAAUGACAGACGCAAAUAUCAAAAAUGGAGUGGCUGUAAGUUUAAAGAACAAACAAAAAUGUGCUCGAUUUUGUGAUGAUAUGGGUCGAGAAGCCACAUGUUCGUUGUAACCAAUAAUUGUGCACCUGAUGGAGUUCAUCCUAGGAAAAGGUCACAUAUCUUCUCAAAAAAGAAAUGAAAAGGUCAAAUGUUAACACCCUAGAGAACUGGGGUGAACUACCUAACAACCUGGUAAACCAUGUUAUAGAAUAUAUUUAGCUUCUCUUAGUCAAUCCUGUAGUUUACCAACUUCCAAGGUACAGAAUAUUUGUGUAGGUCAUUUUCCUCAAAAUAUCUGCAUAGACGAGUAAAUAGGUAACCGCGUAAGGAUGUUACCACAUUUUUCAGUUAGUGAAUUGUGCAUAUGAACUUAUCUCUGUGCUACAACAUCAAAUCCUCAGUUAAUCAUAUAAAGAAGACAUUGAAUAGUUGGUUUCCUAUUUCCCUCAUCCAAGAGGCAUCUAGCAAGUGGGCCAACUUAAUAGUGUCUUACAAUAUUGUAAGGCAAAUUAUCAGUCGAAACUAUUACUUGAAUAAUUUGACUUACUUACGAGCCCUUUUAUGGUGAUUGGGGAGGUACCACCAGUACUUUAAGGUACCACCCCUUAAUUUGGAUGUAACUUUUCGAGUAGAUGUUUUUUCAUAUAAAAAACUUUUUCAUCCGAGUUAGUAUGCAAAAGUUAUGCCCAUUUUACUAAAUUCUAGAGAGAUUUUGCAAAUAAUGUCGAAAUUCACAUUUGCAAACUUUCCCAACAACCAGACCACAUAUCACAUCGGAAACUUUUUUAUUUUUAUUUUUUUGACAUUUUCAUUAUUNNNNNNNNNNNNNNNNNNNNNNNNNNNNNNNNNNNNNNNNNNNNNNNNNNNNNNNNNNNNNNNNNNNNNNNNNNNNNNNNNNNNNNNNNNNNNNNNNNNNNNNNNNNNNNNNNNNNNNNNNNNNNNNNNNNNNNNNNNNNNNNNNNNNNNNNNNNNNNNNNNNNNNNNNNNNNNNNNNNNNNNNNNNNNNNNNNNNNNNNNNNNNNNNNNNNNNNNNNNNNNNNNNNNNNNNNNNNNNNNNNNNNNGUUCGUGCCAUGAACCGGUACUAAUGCCUCAAACCCCAUUAGUACCGGUUGGUGGCUCGAACCGGGACUAAAGGUCUAACCUUUAGUACCGGUUGGUGCCACAAACUGGUACUAAUGGGCAUCGCACCCUUUAGUCCCGGUUCGCGGCACCAACCGGGACUAAAAGGUCCAGAAGAACCGGGACAAAUGGCCCACGUGGCCCCUGGGCGCACGAACCGGGACUAAUGCCCCCAUUAGUCCCGGUUCUAGACCGAAUUGGGACUAAUGGGCUAACCCGGCCUAGACCAAAGCCCUCUUUUCUACUAGUGCACCAUUAAGAGGUUGUAGCUCAAAUGAUAUGUGUUUUCGUUCUAACUGGCAACCGUAACUCAUAUGUCACUCAGGAUGCUAGAUGUAUGCAGUUAAAUGAUAUAAAUUCUUAUUUCUAGAUCAUAUAAAAAUAUAUUACUCUCUUCGAUCGAUAUUAGUUGACACUGCUUUAGUUUCUCCAUUAAUAGCAUCAGCAUGAAACCCACCACACACAUUUUUGUCGAACAGCUACUGGUUUUGAGGGAAACCUACUGGUACAACUAUAACAGUAACAUUAUCACCAAAUGUGCUAAGAAUUUUGAUGCAAGCUGGAACAUGAGAGACUGCACAGUAAGCCAAAACAGAACCACACUGGACAAAGGGUGGUAAAAGCCUAAAGCACGUACCGCACUUUUAUCCUGAGCAUUCAUCGCCGUCAUAACUUGAUUCAGAAGCAUAUCGACACCUAGAAGAAGAGCAUCCUUGGCUGCACCCGAUAACGUGUCUGCCUAGUACAUUAGCAAAGAACAUAGGUCAACAUGGUCACAGAAGGGGUAACAUAUUUCUAAGAGCAAGAAGUAUUGUACAUCCUGCCUAAAAAAACUAUACAGUACUUAUUACAGUCCAUGGUAAGAUCAACUAGCAGGACACACAAGAAGGUAAAGCUCCAAUUUUCCUCUGUCUUUCAGAAAACAUGUAGCCAACAAAUAUACAAUGACAUGUAAAAAAGGUUUGUAACUAGAAGAACCGGUGUGUUGAUUCAGUAACAGUAGCAACUAAUACAUUGGCUGGGAUAGGGUUUUUCCCCCUCGCCCCUCCCCCGUCCCGCCCGCGCCGCCACCCGCGAGGCGGCCGGGGCGGGCGCCCAGAUCCCGCCGCCUCCGGUCUCCCCUCCUCCUCCUUCCUCCCUCGCCGCCGCCAGGGGGCACGGCCGGGCUCGCCUGACCGGCGCCGGCGGCGGCGGGGCCCUGCUCUUCCUCCUCCGCGNNNNNNNNNNNNNNNNNNNNNNNNNNNNNNNNNNNNNNNNNNNNNNNNNNNNNNNNNNNNNNNNNNNNNNNNNNNNNNNNNNNNNNNNNNNNNNNNNNNNNNNNNNNNNNNNNNNNNNNNNNNNNNNNNNNNNNNNNNNNNNNNNNNNNNNNNNNNNNNNNNNNNNNNNNNNNNNNNNNNNNNNNNNNNNNNNNNNNNNNNNNNNNNNNNNNNNNNNNNNNNNNNNNNNNNNNNNNNNNNNNNNNNNNNNNNNNNNNNNNNNNNNNNNNNNNNNNNNNNNNNNNNNNNNNNNNNNNNNNNNNNNNNNNNNNNNNNNNNNNNNNNNNNNNNNNNNNNNNNNNNNNNNNNNNNNNNNNNNNNNNNNNNNNNNNNNNNNNNNNNNNNNNNNNNNNNNNNNNNNNNNNNNNNNNNNNNNNUUCCGCACGGCAGGCGGCGAGGGCCGUGGGCGGCGUGGGCGGCGGUUGGGGUCCGGCUUCGGGCUGCCGGCGGCUGCGGUGGUUCCUCUCCGUCGUGGGCGUGCGGCGGUGGUGCGGCUCGACCGGUGGCGGUCCGGCGACCUGGUGAUGGUGGCCGGCGGUGCGCGUGUUGGUGGUGCCUCCCUUGGCGGCUUUCGGUGUGGGGAGGAAGGGGAGUGGCUUGGACAGGGGCGGCGGAGCCGACGGCGUGCCGGCUGCAGCGCGAAGGCGGGAGCUUUACGGGCCUCUGCGUUCCCGGGUGGGCCUGUGCGGCCACGGGCCUGGUGUGUUCCUGCCAUUGCGUCCGGUCAGCUACCGUCUCCGGCGGUGGAGGUGGGGCCCUCCCGCUUGCCGAUGGUGCUGUUGCCUGGUCCCGGCUCCUCUUCUUCAUCGUGCCGACCAUGCUUCACGGUGCCGUGGUGAGACAGCGUUGAACGCUUCGUGUCCGGGCUGGCGCAGGGUGAGGGUCUGUUUGGCGGCGAGCUUCGGAGUGCCUGAGGUGGAGGUUGGGAUCGGGAGAAAUCUCUGUUGGCCUGGCCGACAUCGACGCGGUGGUGCUUGUGGGUGCCGCCAGACCUUCCUGGAGGGCAUCGGAGCUACCCUUCCUCUCCCCUCACUGUACCGGGGGAAACCCUUGGCAGCAGCGUCGUCUUCGUCGCGUUCCUUCUUGGAGGUGUUGAUUGGUACCGGUGCUUCGGAGGCUCGGAGUCUGGUGGGAGAUCUCCGGUGGGUGCAGCGGCCACGAGGCUUCUUCGUUUCUUUGUCGAUCCGCCGUUGUCGGCGUUUGUUUCUCUUGUAUUUUCUCUUUCUUUUCUUUUGGGCGUGACUGUGCUGUUUCCGCCCCAGCACCUAUCGUUGGAUGGUUCGGUUGGUUGCUUUGUAUACAAAGCGGGGGGAAACCCUUUUUCGGUAAUACAUUGGCUGGCAGGCUAGUUACAUGCAACGACACACCAAGUUUAUCACUGACAUAGAACAAGUGCUAUCGUUGUAAAACUGAUACGAGAAAAAUCACAUCAAAAUUAAUUUUAUUGGAACCACAAAAUUUUCUGGUUCUGCAGCUGUAUAAUAAUAUAAUUAGACAAAUAUAAAUUUCUUCAAAACAUAGUGACCUUGCCUCCUGUCAAUCGGAGGUAUUAAACACGCAACAAUCCUAGAAAACAGCCCAAAGGAAAAAAUGUGGAAGUACAGAUGCCAAAUUUGAUAGUUAUUUAUUAGAAAGAGCCACCUUGUUUAUACAUCUUUCUGCUUGUUCGUAGUGGUUGGUGUGCUACUCUCUGAACCUGGAGAUCCCGAGUUUAAAAGGACCUUCAAUUUGGCGCGUGAGAUGCUGGGGAACAUGCGAGCACGCAGCAGCCUUCUCCAGCACGCCCCUAUUGGGCUGGCCAAUGAGCGGGACUGGACACCCCAGUUUUUUUAUUUUGUUUGUUUGCUUUUACUUUUUUCUGUUUUUUAUUUUUUAAUCUUUGAAACUAUUGCGAAUUUAAAAAAGUUCGAAAUUUCAAAAUAGUGAAUUUUUGAAAAAUGUUCCAGAUAUAAUAAGAUGUUCGUGGUUUAAGAAAUUUUCAUAACCUCACUGUCUUCCAUACAAACUUGGCACAAUCAACAUGUGAUCCAUACGUAGUUUUCUCAUCAAGGUUACUGCCCUCUCUUCAUCCUAAUGCAUUUCACACAGAAAAAAACGUGUCUUGUUAAUGACGCCUCUUGAUAUCCAGAAGCGAGCCAACUGUCGGAGCACUAAGGAGGCCCUUGUCGUGAAACAAAAUGGCUGCGCGACACCGCGAUAACUAUCAUGCUUUUGUGAUGACGAACAAUUGCUUUACGAGCAAAGAAACAAUGAUUCCUCGUUUUCGUAGAGGAGCGAUGACCUUUUUUAAGCGCAAAAAGCAAAGUUUAACCAAACUCUAGGGCUGCUAGGGCUUGGCAGAGAAACAAACAUAAGAAAAACCACGCAUGCAUCUCCCUCAAAUGCCCAGGUUUUCGCUAAUUACAAGCGCUCGUAGAAACCACUUUACUCAAUUCCGCGUGGAUGAUCAGAUACGUAACACCUCGUGCUGCUCGUGGAUGAAGUUUGUGCUGACUCAUCAUUGACGGCGGCCGCGGCAAGAUGCAUCGAGCUGCUCCAUGCCGUUCCACUCGCUUACGGCGGCGAACUCCAGGCAGGGGAUUCCAGCGUCACCCUAUUAGUGUGACCUUUACCUAACACUAUUAGUGUGAGUAUGACCUUUAACUAACACUACUACUAGAAGUACUAUGAGUAAUAAAUGAUGUUUACUCGAUCUAUUUCUAUGCCUAACCAUAUACCGUAUAUCUUAGGACUUUAAAGCGACAGAUGUGGACACCCAUGUUUGUUGAGGUGCUGCCAUCCCCGAUCGAUCUGUGAUGGCUCUAUAAAUGUGUUCGUCAAAAAGCAGCUAGUUCUGAGUGCCAAACACAAAGAACGAAGGAACCAUGGCUGCUCUGAACGCUCUCAUAUGCGUCGUGUUACUACUUGGAGUCAUCAGCUUCGCCUCCCCUCACAUCUCGGCGGGGCGUAUUACUCCGGUGGUCGCUCCGGCAUCCAUUGUGCAUCGACUGCCGAACCGAGCACCAUAUCUACUGUAACAGGUGAGUUUAAUUGUUCCUUAGUUUUGUUUGCACAAGCUCCGGUGAAACGUUCAAUCAAAUUUCUUGCUACAAAUUCUUAUGCUCCAAAUUUAGCACUAAAAGAAAUUUUGAAUGACAGACGCAAAUAUCAAAAAUGGAGUGGCUGUAAUUCAAAGAACAAACAAAAAUGUGCUCGAUUUUGUGAUGGUAUGGGUCGAGAAGCCACAUGUUCGUUGUAACCAAUAAUUGUGCACCUGAUGGAGUUCAUCCUACGAAAAGGUCACAUGUCUUCUCAAAAAAGAAAUGAAAAGGUCAGAUGUUAACACCCUAGAGAACUGGGGUGAACUUCCUAACAACCUGGUAAACCAUGUUAUAGAAUAUAUUAGCUUCUCUUAGUCAAUCCUGUAGUUUACCAACUUCCAAGGCACAGAAUAUUUGUGUAGGUCAUUUUCCUCAAAAUAUCUGCAUAGACGAGUAAAUAGGUAACUGCGUAAGGAUGUUACCACAUUUUUCAGUUAGUGAAUUGUGCAUAUGAACUUAUCUCUGUGCUACUACAUGAAAUCCUCAGUUAAUCAUAUAAAGAAGACAUUGAAUAGUUGGUUUUCUAUUUCCCUCAUCCAAGAGGCAUCUAGCAAGUGGGCCAACUUAAUAGUGUCUUACAAUAUUGUAAGGCAAAUUAUCAGUCGAAACUAUUACUUGAAUAAUUUGACUUACUUACGAGCCCUUUUACGGUAAUUGGGGAGGUACCACCAGUACUUUAAGGUACCACCUCUGAAUUUGGAUGUAAGUUUUUGAGUAGAUGAUUUUUCAUAUAAAAAACUUUUUCAUCCGAGUUAGUAUGCAAAAGUUAUGCCAAUUUUACUAAAUUCUAGAGUGAUUUUGCAAAUAAAGUCGAAAUUCACAUUUGCAAACUUUCCCAACAACUAGACCACAUAUCACAUGGGAAACGUAUUUUUUUUGACAUUUUCAUCAUUUUUCUUUUUUUUUAAACUGAAAAGGNNNNNNNNNNNNNNNNNNNNNNNNNNNNNNNNNNNNNNNNNNNNNNNNNNNNNNNNNNNNNNNNNNNNNNNNNNNNNNNNNNNNNNNNNNNNNNNNNNNNNNNNNNNNNNNNNNNNNNNNNNNNNNNNNNNNNNNNNNNNNNNNNNNNNNNNNNNNNNNNNNNNNNNNNNNNNNNNNNNNNNNNNNNNNNNNNNNNNNNNNNNNNNNNNNNNNNUGCCAUGAACCGGUACUAAUGCCUCAAACCCCAUUAGUACCGGUUGGUGGCUCGAACCGAGACUAAAGGUCUGUAGCGACCCGACCUCAGACGGUCAAGUCUCUGUACAUCAGUGUCAUCCCUGGAUCAGUAAUUCUGACACGCAAAGUACUCGAAGAAUUUAUAACAGAGUAGCAAUCACACAGUUAUUACAUCGAAUGUCUCAAAAGAGAACUUAUUACAAUAAUAUGGCUUAAGGCUAUCUAAUGCGAAAACAGCGGAGGGCUUGGAAGAUAAAGUAAGUCCAUCAACUCCAACGGCAUAGCUGAGCUACACGACAACAACCUAACGAACCUUACUCCUCGUCUGAAAAGUCUGCAAUAUAAUACGUUGCAGCCCGAGAAACGGGUCAGCACAUGGAAUAUGCUGGCAAUAUAACACAGUAGAGUAAAAACAGAAUAAUGCUAACACUACAUGCAUAUUUGGCUGGUGGAAAUCUCUACGGUUAUAGUUUUGCAUAAAGCCAAUUUUUCCCUACUGCAAAGGAAUAAAUUUUAUUUAACUAUCAUGGUAGUUGAACUACAUUGAGAAGGUAACCCCAACUCAAUCCCAAUUAAAGUGAUUAACAACCCAACAAUAUUAAUUAAGAGUGAUGAGACACAUAAGAUACUUCAAGUACUAGACACUCAGAAUUGUCCAUAAUCGGGGACACGGCUAACCAUGAUUAGACUGUACACUCUGCAGAGGUUUGCGCACUUUUCCCCACAAGACUCGAUCGCCUCCGUUGAUUUCUCGCACUGCAUGGUGUUUGAGAAACGGAUGACCGAGACACAGUCUUUCAGAAACAUUAACUCUCUACUCCGAGUAGACCAUACCAAACCUACAAAACCCACUACCUGCUGAUCUACCUGUUCAAGAGCUUCACAUAACUUACUCAACUAUGCUAGAGCCCAUAAUAGCUUGUGGCUGCACACGGAAGUUUCUAGCAUGAAUCAUCUCAGUUCCCUUUGAGCCUAGGUGGCGGUCCAUAGGAAAAUCACACGGUAACCCCGGGAUUUCCAAAAAAAACAGGCAAUCACUGGUAUCCCCAGGUCCCUCAGUCCACCCAGAUGUGUAUUAAAGUUGCCACCUUAGAUUGAACCAUUAAUUAACAAUCUCACAUCUGUCAUGGAACACUCAAACCCAACCACGUCUACGAGCAUAGCAUAGCAAUAUAAGCAUAACGUAGAAGUAACUCCCAAGGGUUUGAUAAUAAACAGGACAAUAGGUUCUACCUCAUCAGCUACUUCCCAAAACCCACAUGUUAAAGACAUCCUAGUCAUGCAAUGUUUGAGGAUUGGACUAAUGCAAUGAUAACUGGGUAUGAAAAGAGUAUGAUCAAUGUGUUACUUGCCUUGCUGACGAUCCGCGAAACCUAGUGACUCGUAGUAACACGCUUCGCACUCCGGGAAUUCUAUCGCAAACAAACAAUAACAUACAUAAGCAACUAGCAAAGAUGCACGAGCAAAACUUCAACGAAAAGCCCAGCAAGUUCAACUUAAGAACUCUGGUUAGCAAAAAGAAUCGAAUCAACCGGAGCAACGAAACUCAAACGGCGAAAGAAACAAAAUCCAUUUACUAAUCUGCACUAAGGUCAAAUUUUUACAGUACCAAAACUUAUUUUAAGUUGGUUAAGCAGAAAGAGGGUCUCGAGACGAAACUCCAGGCUUUUGAAUCACCUGAUUCCGACUAACGAGCGAAAAGAUAAACAGAAACUAAGAUUGGAUCAGAAAUCGCGAUCAGAAAAGUCGCAGAAUAAAUCUGACAAAAGAAAAAGUGACGAACAGAUUAACGAACGAACAUUCGUUAACUGAAACUAAACUAAGAACACGUUCGUUAAAAUGAACGGAUGAGCGAACGCUCGCUAAAUAAAUAAACCGGAGAAAUAAACUGAUCUAUAAAAAACACGCAACUAGGGUUUCAAAAAAAACCGAACGGNNNNNNNNNNNNNNNNNNNNNNNNNNNNNNNNNNNNNNNNNNNNNNNNNNNNNNNNNNNNNNNNNNNNNNNNNNNNNNNNNNNNNNNNNNNNNNNNNNNNNNNNNNNNNNNNNNNNNNNNNNNNNNNNNNNNNNNNNNNNNNNNNNNNNNNNNNNNNNNNNNNNNNNNNNNNNNNNNNNNNNNNNNNNNNNNNNNNNNNNNNNNNNNNNNNNNNNNNNNNNNNNNNNNNNNNNNNNNNNNNNNNNNNNNNNNNNNNNNNNNNNNNNNNNNNNNNNNNNNNNNNNNNNNNNNGCGGCGGCGGAGUCGGAGCCGGACUACGGCUGCGGCGACGCGCGGGAGGAAGGCGGCGGCGCGGGGUUGGUCCGGCCUGGCUCGGCUGGGCCUCGGCCUAGUCGGGCGCGGGAAGUUUUUUUUUAAACAAUUAUGCCGGCAGAAAUAAAAUCCUAGAAAAUAAAAUAAAACCCUAAAAAUGGCAAAACAAAUUUUCACUAUCUAAAUAAAAUAUUUAGAAUGAGAUGAACAUUUUUCUUGGCCCUAAAAUGCAAUUUUUGGAAAACGUGCAAAUUUUUCUAAUGCAAAUAAAAUCCAAAUAAAAUCAACUAAGGUCAAAUAAAUGAUUUUAACAUUUUUCCUCCAAUAUUUCAAUUAUUUUGGAGAAGUCAUAUUAUCUCCUCUCAUUUAUUUUUGGUACAAAAUAUUUUUCGGAGAAAGAAAUAAUUAAAAUCAAAAAUCCUCGUUUCAUUAUUUGGUACGAAAAUCCAAAUAUGAGACCGGAAAAAUCCCCAACUCUCUCCGAGGGUCCUUGAGUUGCUUAGGAUUUCGAGGAUUGCAAAGCGGAAAAGAAAUAAAAUAUGAUAUGCAUGAAUGACCUAUGUAUAACAUUCCAAAUUAAAAUUUUGGGAUGUUACAAACCUACCCCCCUUAAGAUGAAUCUCGCCCUCGAGAUUCGGGUUGGUCAGAAGAUAUGCUCUGUCCUCUCUUUCCUAGGUGGCUUCAUCUUCCGUAUGGUGGCUCCACUGAACUUUACAGAACUUGAUGACCUUACUGCGAGUUACUCGGCUGGCAAACUCAAGAAUCUUCACUGGCUUCUCCUCAUAGGUCAAAUCAUUGUCUAGCUGAAUUGCCUCCAAGGGUACGGUAUCGCUUAACGGUGUAUCAGCCAUCUCCGCAUGGCAUUUCUUCAGCUGUGAGACGUGGAACACGUCGUGAACUCCCGAUAGUCCUUUGGGUAAUUCCAACUUGUAGGCAACUUCUCCCAUCCGUUCCAAAACACGAUACGGUCCUACAAAUCUCGGGGCUAAUUUUCCUUUAACUCCAAAACAUUUCACACCUCGCAAGGGUGAUACUCGCAGAUAUGCUCUGUCUCCCAUUUCAUAAGUUACCUCCUUGCGUUUUGAGUCUACGUAGCUUUUCUACCUUGACUGAGCUACCUUUAGUCUAUCGCGAAUCAAUUUAACUUUCCCCUCAGACUCUUUGAUCAAGUCUGGUCCGAACAACUGACGAUCUCCUACCUCAUCCCACAUUAACGGGGUCCUGCAUCUGCGUCCAUACAAAGCUUCGAACGGUGCCAUCUUCAAACUGGCUUGGUAGCUAUUGUUGUAUGAAAAUUCUGCGUAAGGCAAAUUGUGAUCCCAGCUAGAUCCAUAAUCUAGCGCACAUGCUCUUAACAUAUCUUCCAGUAUCUGGUUGACUCUCUCAGUCUGACCAUCAGUCCGUGGGUGGAAGGAUGUACUGAACUCCAAUCUUGUACCCAAGGUCUGGUGUAACUGAUGCCAAAACUUUGAAGUGAACUGAGUCCCUCUAUCAGAUACGAUGCUCCUCGGAACUCCAUGCAAACAUACAAUUCUGGUCAUAUAUAUCUUGGCCAAAUUAGCACUUGUGUAGGUAGUUUUCACUGGAAUAAAGUGAGCCACUUUAGUCAAACGAUCCACUACUACUCAUAUUGAGUCAUAUCCUGCCUUGGUCCUGGGGUAGUCCGGUGAUAAAGUCCAUACCAAGUUUAUCCCACUUCCAUUCAGGUAUCGGCAUCGGCUGUAACAGUCCGGCUGGUUUCUGAUGCUCUGCCUUCACUCUCUGACAUACAUCACACACGGCUACAUACUCGGCAAUAUCCUUUUUCAUACCAGUCCACCAGAAACGUUCCUUCAAAUCCAAAUACAUCUUGGUGUUUCCGGGGUGUAUCGAGUAUGGUGAGUCAUGUGCCUCCUGAAGUAUUAACUUCCUCAUUUCAGCGUUAUUGGGUACAUAAACCCGGUCCUCAAACCAUAAGGUAUCGUGCUCAUCCUCGCGAAAACCUUUGGCCUUUCCUUCGCUCAUCUUCUCCUUUAUUUCGGCAAUCUCUUGGUCUUCCUUCUGAGCUUCUCGAAUUUUGUUCAACAAGGUCUACUUAACCUCCAAUGUUGCAACAAAACCUCUUGGAACAAUCUCCAAUCGAAGUUCCAUGAUAUCCUCAGCUAACUUCUUUGGCAAACCCUUGCUCUCAAGCAUAUUGGCAUAACUUUUCCGGCUCAAAGCGUCUGCUACAACAUUGGCUUUUCCCGGGUUAUAGUGUAGCUUCAUGUCAUAAUCUUUUAUAAGUUCCAACCAUCUCCUCUGUCUAAGGUUCAGCUCCUUUUGCGUGAAAAUGUACUUCAAACUCUUAUGAUCCGUGUACACAUCACAACGAUUUCCAAUAAGGUAAUGUCUCCAAGUCUUCAAUGCAUGCACUACGGCUGCUAAUUCCAAAUCAUGCGUGGCAUAGUUCAACUCAUGAGGCUUCAGUUGUCGUGAAGCAUACGAAACAACCUUACCAUCCUGCAUAAGCACAUAUCCCAGUCCCAAACGAGAGGCAUCGCAAUACACUUGAAACUCCUUAUGUAUAUCUGGCAAUGUUAGCACUGGGGCUGUAGUCAAACGUUUCUUCAACUCCUGGAAACUUGCCUCGCAAUCCUCUGUCCAUAAAAACUUAUUGUCCUUCUUCAAUAGUUCAGUCAUUGGUUUUGCCAGCUUGGAAAAAUUCUCAAUGAAUCUCCAAUAAUAUCCCGCGAGUCCAAGGAAAUUGCGGAUCUCGCCAACUGAAGUGGGUGCCAACCAUUCAGUGACUGACUGAACCUUGCUGGGGUCCACUGCUAUACCUUCUCCUGAUAUAACAUGCCCAAGAAAUCCAACCUCCUUCAACCAAAAGUUGCACUUGCUGAAUUUGGCGUAUAACUGCUGUUCUCUGAGUUUCUCGAGAACUAACAGCAAAUGCUCCUUGUGCUCCUCUUCAUUUUUCGAGUAUACCAUAAUAUCAUCGAUAAACACUACUACAAACUUGUCCCAAUACUCCAUGAACACUUUGUUCAUCAUACUCAUAAAAUAGGCAGGGGCAUUUGUCAGUCCAAACGACAUGACCGUAUACUCGUAUAAUCCAUACCGCGUAGUGAAUGUUGUCUUUGGUAUAUUCUUCUCUCGGAUCUUUAAUUGAUGGUAUCCUGACCGUAGAUCAAUCUUUGAAAACACCUUAGCUCCUUGCAGCUGAUCAAACAGAUCAUUGAUCAUCGGUAAUGGAUAUUUGUUCUUAAUUGUUACUUCGUUCAAGGCACGAUAAUCCACAACCAUCCUGAGGGAUUUAUCCUUCUUCUCGACCAGAAGUACUGGGGCUCCCCAAGGUGAUGAACUCCUCCGAAUAUAACCUUUCUCCAACAACUCCUUGAUCUGUUUCUUAAUUUCCUCCAGAUCAUUUGCGGGCAUCCGAUAGGGUCUCUUGGAUAUAGGCCCUGUACCUAGCAACAGUUCUAUCAAAAACUCAAUGUUCCGAUCCGGAGGCAUCCCUGGUAACUCUUCUGGAGAAACAUCCGGGUAAUCCUUUACUACAGGCACUUCCUCCUGCACAACUCCCGUGAGGGCAUUCACUUGGGUCCUCCUAGGCACGUACUUAAUCCUUUUACCCUCCGGGGUGGUGAGAUGAAUUGACUUGCUAGCACAGUCAAUAUUUCCUCCAUACCUUGACAUCCAGUCCAUACCUAAUAUCACAUCCAAUCCUUGUGACUCCAAGAUAAUUAGGUCGGAUGGAAAAACAUGAGUUCCAAUGGUUAAAGGUACCUGGUUGCACCACCGGCUAGCCAUAUACUCAGCUCCAGGCCAGCUUAUUAAAAGAGGGGUCCUUAGGGUUUGGGUUGGUAGCUUAAACUUGUCCACAAAUCCCCUUGAUAUGUAUGAAUGCGAUGCACCAGUAUCGAAAAGAAUAAGAGCGGUAAAUGACUUAACCGAAAACUUACCUAUCACCGCGUCUAGCUGAUCUUGAACCUCCUCCACGUUAACGUGGUUCACCUGUCCUUUGUUGAAUGAAUUAGGCUUCUUUCCGGCACUCCCGUUUCCAUUUCCAUUCCUUCCUUCAAGGCAAUCAUUCGCAUAAUACCCGGUCUUUCUGCACUUAUAGCAAGUAACUUGACUCAGGUCUCUCUUGGAGGGUGUGGCUGGAUUGGAGCGAUUCUGAUUGUUGUUAGCUCCGUUCCCAUUUCCAUUCUUACCACCAUUGUGAUUAUGCGAUCCUCCUCUAGUGUGGUUGUGACCUCCAUGAUUAUGAACAAGCCCUCCCGUAUUCGGGGUUAAGCGAGGCUUAUGCUGAGCUCCGGAGUUAUACUUCCCUUGACCAUACUUCCUCUUACGACUCUCAAUCUGCUGCUGCUUCCCUUCGAUCAUAAGGGCCUUAUCUACGAACUCCUGGUAGUUGUUGAAAGUUGCCACCAUCAACUGCAUACUCAUCUCAUCAUUCAACCCUUCCAUAAACUUCUCCUGCUUCGCGGCAUCCGUGGCCACAUCAUCAGGGGCAUAGCGUGAUAGUUUGCUAAAAUCAUCCACGUACUGACCUACAGUACGGUUCCCCUGACGUAAAUUGCGGAACUCCUGCUUCUUCAUCUGCAUAGCUCCAGUGGAAACAUGGGCAGUACGAAAAGCCUGCUGAAACUGUGCCCAUGUGACCGUGUCGAUAGGAUAGGUGGCUGUGAAAUUCUCCCACCAUGAUGCUGCCGGUCCAUCCACUUGGUGUGCGGCAAAACGCACCUUCUCCGCAUCUGUGCAUCCAGCUGUGGUCAACUCCCUUCCGAUACAGCGUAGCCAAUCAUCAGCAACUAUUGGCUCGGUGCUACUGGAAAACACCGGCGGUUGUAACCUUAGAAAGCGGGUUAGGUUGUCCGCUGGUGGAGCGUUAUUGUUGUUAUUGUUGUUGCCUUGGUUCUGAACUAGCAAUUGCAUCAAAGCAUUCUGCUGCUGGAUCAACUGGGUGAGCUCCGACGGGAAAGCAAAACCGGUGUCACGUCUCGGAGGCAUCUGAUGGGUUUUAGAGGGAAGAGAUUAGAAUAGAAAAAGGUCUAGUGAGAAAGCACUACCCAUAUGCACAUGAGACAAGCACAAUCAUAACACUCAAUCAAUCAAGCAAGGGCUUACAACAAUCUAUAACUAUCGCAAAAGUGCUCAAUUACAUGGGAAAAAUACUAGUAGUAUAUGGUGGUCAUCUAGAAAAUUUUGAUCGAUGGAAGAUUCCAUAAUGUCAGCUCCAGCUUCAUCUUCAUAAUCAUCAUCACUAGGGUCCGAAUCAGUGUCGUCGAUGAUGAUGUAGUUGUCCGGGCAAGUGGGGUCGUCAUCUUCCUCUUCUGGUGCUGCUUCUCCCAUGAAUACUCCGAUCUUCUUAACCAGGUCGUCGUUCUUCUCCAGUAGCAUCUUGAUUUCCUCCUCAUAUCCGUCGCGGGUGAACUUGAGUUCUUCCUCCAGCUCGAUGAUCCUAGUCUUUGCCUUCUUCAAUUCCAUCAUGUCUGCGCACAUCUGGUUCUCCUGUUGUCAAAUGUGCUGGUUUUGCUCCUGGAUAAAAGCUGCAAUGGAUCUAUCCUUCUUGGUGCUGAUCAUAUCCCAUUGCUCGUCUCGGCACCCACAUAUUUGAUAGAUGGUGUCCUUGAGUUCCUUAUUGUAGACUUCUCCAAUGCGUCCCAUGGUAAUGUGGGCUGCCAUGCUCUUGCCUAGGCUCCAGGUUGGUGCAUCGAAAGAAAAUUCUAUGGGUUUAGAAGUUGGCGAAAACGUCCUUCCUGGUACUUGUACUUGAAUCAUCCAACGCUCCUCUUCUGGUAGGGUGGCGUUGUACGUCCCGGUGAAACUUGGUAUUCCAAUGUUCAGGUAUCUUGUGACUUCCUUCAAGUGGCGUCCAAAAGGUGUAUCCUCAUCUGGUUGCGCAAACUUGUUCUUCAUCUCCGGCAUCCUAAAGAGUGGAAAAGAGAAGAGAAAUCAGAAAUAAGUAGAGAAGAGUGACCUAUGGUUUGUCUUAGUGGUCGUGUCCUACACUCAGCGUGUGCUGUGAUACCAUUUUGUAGCGACCCGACCUCAGACGGUCAAGUCUCUGUACAUCAGUGCCAUCCCUGGAUCAGUAAUGCUGACACGCACAAUACUCGAAGGAUUCAUAAGAGUAGCAAUCACACACUUAUUACAUCGAAUGUCUCAAAAGAGAACUUAUUACAAUAAUAUGGCUUAAGGCCAUCUAAUGCGAAAACAGCGGAAGGCUUGGAAGAUAAAGUGAGUCCAUCAACUCCAACGGCAUAGCUAAGCUGCACGACAACGACCUAACAAACCUUACUCCUCGUCUGAAAAGUCUGCAACAUUAUACGUUGCAGCCCAAGAAACGGGUCAGCACAUGGAAUAUGCUGGCAAUAUAACACAGUAGAGUAAAAACAGAAUAAUGCUAACACUACACGCAUAUUUGGCCGGUGGAAAGCUCUACGGUUAUAGUUUUGUAUAAAGCCAAUUUUUCCCUACUGCAAAGGAAUAAAUUUUAUUUAACUAUCAUGGUAGUUGAACAACAUUGAGAAGGUAACCCCAACUCAAUCCCAAUUAAAGUGAUUAACAACCCAACAAUAUUAAUUAAGAGUGAUGAGACACAUAAGAUACUUCAAGUACUAGACUCUCAGAAUUGUCCAUAACCGGGGACACGGCUAAGCAUGAUUAGAUUGUACACUCUGCAGAGGUUUGCACACUUUUCCCCACAAGACUCGAUCAUCUCCGUUGAUUUCUCGCACUGCAUGGUGUUUGAGAAACGGAUGACCGAGACACACUCUUUCAGAAACAUUAACUCUCUAGUCCGGGUAGACCAUACCAAACCUACAGAACCCACUACCUGCUGAUCUACCUGUUCAAGAGCUUCAUGUAACUUACUCAACUAUGCUAGAGCCCAUAAUAGCUUGUGGCUGCACACUGAAGUUUCUAGCAUGAAUCAUCUCAGUUCCCUUUGAGCCUGGGUGGCGGUCCAUAGGAAAAUCACAUGGUAACCCCGGGAUUUCCAAAAAAACACAGGCAAUCACUAGUAUCCCCAGUUUCCUCAAUCCACCCAGAUGUGUAUUAAAGUUGCCACCUUAGAUUGAACCAUUAAUUAACAAUCUCACAUCUGUCAUGGAACACUCAAACCCAACCACAUCUACGAGCAUAGCAUAGCAAUAUAAGCAUAACGUAGAAGUAACUCCCAAGGGUUUGAUAAUAAACAGGAUAAUAGGUUCUACCUCAUCAGCUACUUCCCAAAACCCACAUGUUAAAGACAUCCUACUCAUGCAAUGUUUGAGGAUUGAACUAAUGCAAUGAAAACUGGGUAUGAAAAGAGUAUGAUCAAUGUGUUACUUGCCUUGCUGACGAUCCGCGAAACCUAGUGACUCGUAGUAACACGCUUUGCACUCCGGGAAUUCUAUCGCAAACAAACAAUAACAUAAAUAAGCAACUAGCAAAGAUGCACGAGCAAAACUUCAACUGAAAGCAAAGAACCAGCAAGUUCAACUUAAGAACUCUGGUUAGCAAAAAGAAUCGAAUCAACCGGAGCAACGAAACUCAAACGGCAAAAGAAACAAAAUCCGUUUACUAAUCUGGACUAAGAUCAAAUUUUUACAGUACCAAAACUUAGUUUAAGUUGGUUAAGCAGAAAGAGGGUCUCUAGACGAAACUCCAGGCUUUUGAACCACCUGAUUCGGACUAGCGAGCGAAAAGAUAAAAAGAAACUAAGAUUGGAUCAGAAAUCGCGAUCAGAAAAGUCGCGGAAUAAAUCUGACAAAAGAAAAAGCGACGGACAGAUUGACGAACGAACGUUCGUUAACUAAAACUAAACUAAGAACACAUUCAUUGAAACGAACGGACGAGCGAACGCUCGCUAAAUCAAUAAACCGGAGAAAUAAACUGAUCUAUAAAAAACGCAACUAGGGUUUCAAAAAAAAUAAUUAACCGAACGGUUUUAAAAAUAACUGGCGGUCUCGGAUUCCGGCGGAUACCUCCGGCGAGGGGGGUGGUCCGGCGAGGCGGGGCUCCGGCGGGCGGUGGCGUGGGGCGUCGGGGCUCCGGCGGCAGGCGCGACGGCGGAAAGCGACGGCGGCUGCGGAAAGCAGCGGCGGCGGCGGCUCGGCUGCGGCGACGGGCGACGGCGGUGGCUCGGGCUUCGGCUCCGGGCGGCGGCUGGUGGUGGUGGCUAGGGAGGGGCCGGCGGUAUUUAUAGGGGGGUCGGUGCCUUGGGGGAGGGGGCAGGCGGCGGCGGAGUCCGAGCCGGACUCCGGCUGCGGCGACGCGCGGGAGGAAGGCGGCGGCGCGGGGUUGGGCCGGCCUGGCUCGGCUGGGCCUCGGCCCAGCCGGGCGCGGGAAGUUUUUUUUAAAAACAAUUACACCGGCAGAAAUAAAAUCAUAGAACAUAAAAUAAAAUGCUAAAAAUGCCAAAACAAAUUUUCACCGUCUAAAUAAAAUAUUUAGAACGAGAUGAACAUUUUUUGGCCCUAAAAUGCAAUUUUUGGAAAACGUGCAAAUUUUUCUAAUGCAAAUAAAAUCCGAAUAAAAUCAACUAAGGUCAAAUAAAUGAUUUUGACAUUUUUCCUCCAAUAUUUCAAUUAUUUUGGAGAAGUCAUAUUAUCUCCUCUCAUUUAUUUUUGGUACGAAAUAUUUUUUGGAGAAAGAAAUAAUUAAAAUCAAAAAUCCUCGUUGCAUUAUUUGGUACGAAAAUCCAAAUAUGAGACCGGAAAAAUCUCCAACUCUCUCCGAGGGUCCUUGAGUUGCUUAGGAUUUCGAGGAUUGUAAAGCGGAAAAGAAAUAAAAUAUGAUAUGCAUGAAUGACCUAUGUAUAACAUUCCAAAUUACAAAUUUGGGAUGUUACAAGGUCUAACCUUUAGUACCGGUUGGUGCCACGAACCGGUACUAAUGGGCAUCGCACCCUUUAGUCCCGGUUCGUGGCACCAACCGGGACUAAAAGGUCCAGACGAACCGGGACAAAUGGCCCACGUGGCCCCUGGGCGCACGAACCGGGACUAAUGCUCCCAUUAGUCCCGGUUCUAGACUGAACCGGGACUAAUGGGCUAACCCGGCCUGGACCAAAGCUCUCUUUUCUACUAGUGCACCAUCAAGAGGUUGUAGCUCAAAUGAUAUGUGUUUUCGUUCUAAUUGGCAACCGUAACUCAUAUGUCACUCAGGAUGCUAGAUGUGUGCAGUUAAAUGAUAUAAAUUCUUAUUUCUAGAUCAUAUAAAAAUAUAUUACUCCCUCCUAUCGAUAUUUGUUGAUACUGCUUUAGUUUCUCCAUUAAUAGCAUCAGCAUGAAACCCAUCGCACACAUUUUUGUCGAACAGCUACUGGUUUUGAGGGAAACCUACUGGUACAGCUAUAACAGUAACUUUAUCACCAAAUGUGCUAAGAAAUUUUAUGCAAGCUGGAACAUGAGAGACCGCACAGUAAGCCAAAACAGAACCACACUGGACAAAGGGUGGUAAAAGCCUAAAGCACGUACCGCACUUUUAUCCUGAGCAUUCAUCGCCGUGAUAACUUGAUUCAGAAGCAUAUCGGCACCUAGAAGAAGAGCAUCCUUGGCUGCACCCGAUAACGUGUCUGCCCAGUACAUUAGCAAAGAACAUAGGUCAACAUGGUCACAGAAGGGGUAACAUAUUUCUAAGAGAAAGAAGUACUGUACAUCCUGCCUAAAAAAACUAUAUAGUACUUAAUACAGUCCAUGGCAAAAACUAGCAGGACACGCAAGAAGGUAAAGCUCCAAUUUUCCUCUGUCUUUGAGAAAACAUGUAGACAACAAAUAUACAAUGACAUGUAAAAAAGGUUUGGAACUAGAAGAACCGGUGUGUUGAUUCAGUAACAGUAGCAACUAAUACAUUGGCUGGCAGGCUAGUUACAUGCAACGACACAGCAAGUUUAUCACUGACAUAGAACAAGUGCUAUCGUCGUAAAACUGAUACGAGAAAAAUGACAUCAAAAUUAAUUUUAUAGGAACCACAAAAUUUUCUGGUUAUGCAGCUGUAUAAUAAUAUAAUUAGACAAAUAUAAAUUUCUUCAAAACAUAGUGACCUUGCCUCGUGUCAAUCGGAGGUAUUAAACACGCAACAAUCCUAGAAAACUGCCCAAAGGAAAAAAUGUGGAAGUACAGAUGCAAAAUUUGAUAGUUAUUCAGUAGUGGUUGGUGUGCGACUCUCUGAACCUGGAGAUCCCGAGUUUAAAAGGACCUCCAAUUUGGCGCGUGAGGUGCUGGGGAAACAUGCCAGCGCGCAGCACCCUCCUCCAGCACGCUCCUAUUGGGCUGGCCAAUGAGCGGGACUGGACACCCCAGUUUUUUUAUUUUGUUUGUUUGCUUUUACUUUUUUCUGUUUUUUAUUUUUAAUCUUUGAAACUAUUGCGAAUUUAAAAAAGUUCCAAAUUUCAAAAUAGUUAAUUUUUGAAAAAUGUUCCAGAAAUAAUAAGAUGUUCGUGGUUUAAGAAAUUUUUAUAACCUCACUGUCUUCCAUACAAACUUGGCACAAUCAACAUGUGAUCCAUACGUAGUUUUCUCAUCAAGGUUACUGCCCUCUCUUCAUCCUAAUGCAUUUCACACAGAAAAAAUGUGUCUCGUUAAUGACGCCUCUUGAUAUCCAGAAGCGAGCCAACUGUCGGAGCACUAAGGAGGCCCUUGUUGCGACACAAAAUGGCUGCGCAACACCGCGAUAACUAGCUAUCAUGCUUUUGUGAUGACGAACAAUUGCUUUACGAGCAAAGAAACAAUGAUUCCUCAUUUUCGUAGAGGAGCGAUGACCUAUUUUAAGCGCAAAAAGCAAAGUUUAACCAAACUAUAGGGCUGCUAGGGCUUGGCAGAGAAACAAGAGUGAAUUCCAUUUUUUACCUUGUAGUUGUACAUUUGUGACACAUAUUACCCUAUUUAGCGGAACUUUUAUCGAAAUGUCAGAUUUUGGAGACUUUUAACACGGUUUUACCCUAGUUUUACAUUUUGUCUGUUUAUGGUCGAUAGGAUCGGCAUGUUGCGUCAUUGAUUUGUAAAAAAAACUGUAAGGAUCGGAGGGCAUCAUUGGCGAUCUUGUCCAAGCUUCUCUUGUCUAUCUGUUCCACUCCUUCUGGCCGUCCACAUGUUUUUGGAUACAGAGCGUCACCUCACACCUUACCUGAUGGACACGCAUCAAAAAACAAGGGUCCAAAGAUUUCAAAAGGGGUAUUCUAGAUGAAUUUUCACUCGAAGGGGUAAUUAGUGUCACAAAUGUAUAAAUAUGGGGUAAAAAGUGGAAUUCACUCGAGAAACAAACAUAAGAAAAACCACGCAUGCAUCUCCCUCAAAUGCCCAGGUUUUCGGUAAUUACAAGCGCUCGUAGAAACCAGAUUACUCAAUUCCGCGUGGAUGAUCAGAUACGUAACACCCUCAUGCUGCUCGUGGAUGAAGUUUGUGCUGACUCAUCAUUGACGGCGGCCGCGGCAAUAUGCAUCGAGCUGCUCCAUGCCGCUCCACUCGCUUACGGCGGCGAACUCCAGGCAGGGGAUUCCAGCGUCACCUCACGUACUACUAUUAGUGUGAUCUUUACCUAACACUAUUAGUGUGAGUGUGACCUUUAACUAACACUACUACUAGAAGUACUAUGAGUAAUAAAUGAUGUUUACUCGAUCUAUUUCUAUGCCUAACCAUAUACAGUAUAUCUUAGGACUUUAAAGCGACGCAUGUGGACACCCAUGUUUGUUGAGGUGCUGCCAUCCCCGAUCGAUCCGUGAUGGCUCUAUAAAUGUGUUCGUCAAAAAGCAGCUAGUUCUGAGUGCCAAACACAAAGAACGAAGGAACCAUGGCUGCUCUGAAAGCUCUCAUAUGCGUCGUGUUACUACUUGGAGUCAUCGGCUUCGCCUCCCCUCACAUCUCGGCGGGGCGUAUCGCUCCGGUGGUCGCUCCGGCAGUCCAUUGUGCAUCGACUGCCGAACCGAGCACCGUACCUACUGUAACAGGUGAGUUUAAUUGUUACUUAGUUUUUUUUGCACAAGCUCGUACGUGACCCUUGCCACGGCCGUGAUAUCUAUCUGCUAUGAAUAGGAGGAUGCAGUGGUAGCGCUCCAGCUACCACAGAAGAGAAGGGACUGCUACCUUCGAGAGGCAUCUUCCUUCCGCCCCGCCUCCCGUCGUCGCGUGAAAACCUGCUGAAAGUUCCAACAGGAAGCACCCCGUAAGGUGAAGGAAAAACAAGAUGGAACCACUAAGUCAUAAUAUUGAAUAAUGAUGUAACAGUUCUGGUUAUCGUGCAUGUAUGCCACCAUGGGGAGCCACGUAUGUUUCAAUUCACUGGUCUGUUCCGACAUACACCUAUAUGUUUUGAUCGCAACUCGAUCGUUCGAAUGUUACAUCGAAUUUAUUAGCAGAAGUUUUUAUGCUAGCUCCGGUGAAACGUUCGAUCAAAUUUCUUGCUACAAAUUCUUAUGCUCCAAAUUUAGCACUAAAAAAAAAUUUUGAAUGACAAAAGCAAAUAUCAAAAAUGGAGUGGCUGUACGUUCAAAGAACAAACAAAAAUGUGCUCGAUUUUGUGAUGAUAUGGGUCGAGAAGCCACAUGUUCGUUGUAACCAAUAAUUGUGCACCUGAUGGAGUUCAUCCUACGAAAAGGUCACAUGUCUUCUCAAAAAAGAAAUGAAAAGGUCAGAUGUUAACACCCAGGAGAACUGGGGUGAACUUCCUAUCAACCUGGUAAACCAUGUUAUAGAAUAUAUUUAGCUUCUCUUAGUCAAUCUUGUAGUUUACCAACUUCCAAGGCACAUAAUAUUUGUGUAGGUCAUUUUCCUCAAAAUAUCUGCAUAGACGAGUAAAUAGGUAACUGCGUAAGGAUGUUACCACAUUUUUCAGUUAGUGAAUUGUGCAUAUGAACUUAUCUCUGUGCUACUACAUCAAAUCAUCAGUUAAUCAUAUAAAGAAGACAUUGAAUAGUUGGUUUUCUAUUUCCCUCAUCCAAGAGGCAUCUAGCAAGUGGGCCAACUUAAUAGUGUCUUACAAUAUUGGAAGGCAAAUUAUCAGUCGAAACUAUUACUUGAAUAAUUUGACUUACUUACGAGCCCUUUUACGGUGAUUGGGGAGGUACCACCCCUGAAUUUGGAUUUAACUUUUCGAGUAGAUGAUUUUUCAUAUAAAAAACUUUUUCAUCCGAGUUAGUAUGCAAAAGUUAUGCCCAUUUUACUAAAUUCUAGAGAGAUUUUGUAAAAAUAAAGUCGAAAUUCACAUUUGCAAAUUUCCCCAACAACUAGACCACAUAUCACAUGGGAAACUUAUUUUUUUUUUAUUUUUUUGACAUUUUAAUCAUUUUCUUUUAUUUUAUUUAAAACUGAAAAGGCAAUCCACUGGGGGGUGUUGUUUGAAAUGGGACCUUUAGUACCGGUUUGUGCCAUGAACCGGUACUAAUGCCUCAAACCCCAUUAGUACCGGUUGGUGGCUCGAACCGGGACUAAAGGUCUAACCUUUAGUACCGGUUGGUGCCACGAAUCGGUACUAAUGGGCAUCGCACCCUUUACUCCCGGUUCGUGGCACCAACCGAGACUAAAAGGUCCAGACGUACAGGGACAAAUGGCCCACGUGGCCCCUGGGCGCAGGAACCGGGACUAAGGCCUCCAUUAGUCCAGGUUCUAGACUGAACCGGGGCUAAUGGGCUAACCCGGCCUGGACCAAAGCCCUCUUUUCUACUAUUGCACCAUCAAGAGGUUGUAGCUCAAAUGAUAUGUGUUUUCGUUCUAACUGGCAACCGUAACUCAUAUGUCACUCAGGAUGCUAGAUGUAUGCAGUUAAACGAUAUAAAUUCUUAUUUCUAGAUCAUAUAAAAAUAUAUUACACCCUCCGAUCGAUAUUAGUUGACACUGCUUUAGUUUCUCCAUUAAUAGCAUCAGCAUGAAACCCACCGCACACAUUUUUUGUCGAACAGGUACUAGUUUUGAGGGAAACCUACUGGUACAACUAUAACAGUAACAUUAUCACCAAAUGUGCUAAGAAAUUUGAUGCAAGCUGGAACAUGAGAGACCGCACAGUAAGCCAAAACAGAACCACACUAGACAAUGGCUGGAAAAAGCCUAAAGCACGUACCGCACUUUUAUCCUGAGCAUUCAUCGCCGUCAUAACUUGAUUCAGAAGCAUAUCGGCACCUAGAAGAAGAGCAUCCUUGGCUGCACCCGAUAACGUGUCUGCCCAGUACAUUAGCAAAGAACAUAGGUCAACAUGGUCACAGAAGGGGUAACAUAUUUCUAAGAGCAAGAAGUAUUGUACAUCCUGCCUAAAAAACUAUACAGUACUUAUUACAGUCCAUGGUAAGAUCAACUAGCAGGACACACAAGAAGGUAAAGCUCCAAUUUUCCUCUAUCUUUCAGAAAACAUGUAGCCAACAAAUAUACAAUGACAUGUAAAAAAGGUUUGGAACUAGAAGAACCGGUGUGUUGAUUCAGUAACAGUAGCAACUAAUACAUUGGCUGGCAGGCUAGUUACAUGCAACGACACACCAGGUUUAUCACUGACAUAGAACAAGUGCUAUCUUUGUAAAACUGAUACGAGAAACAUCACAUCAAAAUUAAUUUUAUUGGAACCACAAAAUUUUCUGGUUCUGCAGCUGUAUAAUAAUAUAAUUAGACAAAUAUAAUUUUCUUCAAAACAUAGUGACCUUGCCUCCUGUCAAUCGGAGGUAUUAAACAUGCAACAAUCCUAGAAAACUGCCCAAAGGAAAAAAUGUGGAAGUACAGAUGAAUAAUUUGAUAGUUAUUCAUUAGAAAGAGCCACCUUGUUUAUACAUCUUUCUGCUUUUUCGUAGUGGUUGGUGUGCUACUCUCUGAGUUUAAAAGGACCUCCAAUUUGGCGCGUGAGGUGCUGGGGAACAUGCCAGCGCGCAGCACCCUCCUCCAGCACGCCCCUAUUGGGCUGGCCAACGAGCGGGACUGGACACCCCAGUUUUUUUAUUUUGUUUGUUUGCUUUUACUUUUUUCUGUUUUUUAUUUUUUAAUCCUUGAAAAUAUUGUAAAUUUAAAAAAGUUCCAAAUUUCAAAAUAGUGAAUUUUUGAAAAUGUUCCAGAAAUGAUAAGAUGUUCGUGCUUUAAGAAAUUUUCAUAGCCUCACUGUCUUCCAUACAAACUUGGCACAAUCAACAUGUGAUCCAUACGUAGUUUUCUCAUCAAGGUUACUGCCCUCUCUUCAUCCUAAUGCAUUUCACACAGAAAAAAACGUGUCUUGUUAAUGACGCCUCUUGAUAUCCAGAAGCAAGCCAACUGUCGGAGUACUAAGGAGGCCCUUGUUGCGACACAAAAUGGCUGCACGACACAGUGAUAACUAUCAUGCUUUUGUGAUGACAAACAAUUGCUUUACGAGCAAAGAAACAAUGAUUCCUCAUUUUCGUAGAGGAGCGAUGACCUUUUUUCAGCGCAAAAAGCAAAGUUUAACCAAACUCUAGGGCUGCUAGGGCUUCGCAGACAAACAAACAUAAGAAAAAGCACGCAUGCAUCUCCCUCAAAUGCCCAUGUUUUCGCUGCGCUCGUAGAAACCAGUUUACUCAAUUCCGCGUGGAUGAUCAGAUACGUAACACCCUCGUGCUGCUCGUGGAUGAAGUUUGUGCUGACUCAUCAUUGACGGCGGCCGCGGCAAGAUGCAUCGAGCUGCUCCAUGCCGCUCCACUCGCGUACGUCGGCGAACUCCAGGCAGGGGAUUCCAGCUUCACCUCACAUACUACUAUUAGUGUGACCUUUACCUAACACUAUUAGUGUGAGUGUGACCUUUAAGUAGCACUACUACUAGAAGUACUAUGAGUAAUAAAUGAUGUUUACUCGAUCUAUUUCCAUGCCUAACCAUAUACAGUAUAUCUUCGGACUUUAAAGCGACGGAUAUGGACACACAUGUUUGUUGAGGUGCUGCCAUCCCCGAUCGUGUUACUACUUGGAGUCAUCGGCUUCGCCUCCCCUCACAUCUCGGCGGGGCGUAUCGCUCCGGUGGUUGCUCCGGCAGUCCAUUGUGCAUCGACUGCUGAACCGAGCACCGUAUCUACUGUAACAGGUGAGUUCAAUUGUUACUUAGUUUUUUUUGCACAAGCUCGUAUGUGACCCUUGGCGCGGCCGUGAUAUCUCUCUACUAGGGAAAACCUUAUACACAGAAUCUUACCAGUAGCGCGUGUGAAAAUGAGACGCUACUGCUAAUUAGCAGUAGCGCGUCUGCCAAAACUGCGCUACUGUUACCCCCUUAGCAGUAGCGCGGCGGGAACUGUACGCGCUACUACUAUAAUUGCCACACCGUUCCCGACAUGCUAGGUAUAGUAGUAGCGCCCUUCUAGAAACGACGCUACUACUACCGAUUUUAGCAGCAGCGCGUUUUCCCCUCCCACACUACUGUUAAAUCUAUUCUCACCUAACCCCCCGCGCGGCCUGAUUCCCUCCUCUUCCUCCCCCAAUUCACCACUCUCUCUUCUCCCCCUCGUCGCCUCCGCCUCGCCGCCGUCUCCCCCGACCCCGCCUCAUGGCCGUCUCCCCCGACCCCGCCUCGCCGCCGUCUCCCCCGACCCCAUCUCUCUCCCCGCCCUCUGUAAGCACUCUCCCCUUCCGAUCCCUCUUGUUAAUUUGCUUAGUAUGAACCCUAGCUAUUUAGUGCUAGUUAGUACGAACCCUAGGCUAUUUUUAGUGUUAGUUAGUUAAUUUAGUGUUAGUUAGUUAGUUAGUAUGAACCCUUAGCAGUAGUUCCUAGGUACUAAUUAGUUAGUAAGAACUAGGUACUAAUUAGCUAGGUACUAGUUUAUUUUUAUUUAUAGUAAGUUUAUUUUCAGUAAGAACUAAUUGAAUUAAUAGAACAUGUUAGUAAGAACUUGUUGCUAUUUUUUUAGUUAAAGCAAUUUUUCCUGCAUCGACGUGGACAAUGCCUAUCCCGCAUCCUCGUCGUCGAGUCGGUGGAGGACGACACCUGCUUGACCAGAUGGGCCAUGUUCGGGACUGGGCUCCGCCGGGGUGGUACUGGGAGGCGCUACCUACUGGGGGGCGCAGGUUGGUGAGGAGCCAGCCUGUCGUUGACCCGAACCUUCUUUGGUGGCGGUCGCGUGGGCCAGUGACGGUCCAGAGGCUCAAGGACCCCGCGGAGGUGGUGCGUCACCGUGUCAGUCAGGAGGACGCGCACGUCCGUCGCUACUUGUUUGCGUUGGAGCACAGGUUCUCCAAUACCUGGCAGGUUCUCCAGGGAUCUCACUAGAGCUAUGAUCCCGUGAUGGUUCCUUCUCUGUGGGUGUCCACCGCCCGCGCCGAUACCCGUCGUGUGCUAGGGUUUUAGUUGUAUUAGUGAUGUUAUAUGUAUGACACUAUUCGGGAUGUAUUAGUUAUAAUAUUCGACGAUGUACGAACACGCAUGAGAUGAUUUACUUUUGCUUAUUCAAUGCAUGCUAAUUUCAGUCCUAUAAGAUAUUUUCAAAUGUAUGUCUUGUGUUGCUCAAAUAUGAUAUGUGCUUGCCCAAGUGGCCGGUCAUGUUUGCAGGUUACACCUCCGAGUGGCCUAUGUUUUGCUGGAGUGUUGAUUCAUUUCCGUUCCGGCAAAUCUCAGGCGCUCGAUAUGUCCUAUUUUAGCAACGGUCAUGCCGGAUUUUUCCGUGAAUUUUGGCAUGACUUGUGCCAGAAUAUGUAGGAAAUAUCGACUGCCCCGGAUUCGUGUGUUGAGUAUCCUGGUACUUGUCUUCGAUCGAUUUUCAAUUAAUGUUUUAAUGAUGAACAUAGGAAAUGUCUGAUGACGAAAAGGAUUUCGGUAUUUGCAAAUACUGCGAAGACGAGCGCGGCCUGUGCGACGGAAUCUUCCUAGAUGAUGAUAGGCACUUCAGCAUCAAGCUGGACGAGAACUUCGAAGUGGAUACAGUAAGUCACAACGACAAGUCUUUUUUCGUAAUUAAGCAUGACAUAUGCUUCAUUUGCUUCAACUUAUAAUUUGUUUUUACUAUUCUACUAGCGUAUCCCCUGCCAUGCAAGAGUUUUUGUAUUGGAUAAGAUAGGUUGCAUUCAUACUAUGGAGGUAAAGAAAUAUUACUGGAAGACCGAGCAUGGUUAUAUUUUCCACACAAAUUUAUACAAUUCAGUCAACUACACCUAUUUUGGAUGCAAAACAUGGCGAGCACUAUGCAAGACUUAUGCAUUUGAGCCUAAUAUGGUUAUCACCUUUGAUAUUCGUCCGGAAGAUGAUAUUGAAGGUAAUACCGACAUCUGGGUCGAUGUGCAGACGCCUCCAGUUAUACCAAAAUGUGAGUUUUUCAACCAUAUUUAUGUCUUUGAUAUUGUUUACUCAAAAAUAGUUGACAAUUAAUUUCUAUUGAUAGCUUAUUUCGGUGCAAGCAAACAUGUCUAGCGCUUGGUAGAUAGGACCGUAUACUGUGCCGGGGCUGAAAUCAACUGCGAGGAGCUCAGUCAUUAUGUUUCAUGGCUUGCGGAUCUUGAUACUAUCAAGACAAAUUUUCUUCCUCGAUUUAGAAAUGUUAGUACUGAAACGGUGCGACAAAUAGUGUUCGUACUGAACUACGGUCACAUCUAUUUAGGAAGGAUGGUAAGAUUUUUAAUAUUUGUCCUCAGUGCAUCUUUUCCAUACAUUAUUUUUGAAGCUAAACUUCAUUGCUAAGUAUGUUACCAUACGAUGUUCUUCAAUAGGGAGUCCCGAUGAAUGUUGUGCCUUAUGGGAUCGAGACUAAAGGUACCAUGAGUAUUAUUAGCUUACGGCCAAGAUAUCCUACAGAUUGUUGUAGUGCAUUCAAGAUUAGCGACGGAUGCUUAAUAGUGCAAGACUGGACCAAAUAUGUGAUGGGGGAGCGCAGAGAAGUACUAGGGGGCAGCAAACAGAAGCGCAUCCCAUGAUUAGGAGACAGGUUCAUCUGUAUGCUCCAACUUGAUCAAGGAGGAGAGCUACACAUGUUUUAUGUUAUUUUACAUAAGAGAGAGCAGCAAGAGUGAUUAGCUAGCUAGAAAUGAGUUUGAGGAUGAUGAUGUGCUACACUAUUACUAUGAUGAUAAAAUAGCUAGUGUUGGUGGUAAUGACUAUGAGGAUUAUUAUUAGCUAGUGUUAGUGGUGAUUAGAUAAAUAAUGUUGGUGGCAAUUACUAUGAUGAUGAUUAAAUAGCUUGUGCUGGCAGAUUAGAUUCAAGUGGAGGCAACAUGUGGUGCACAUCGAAAGUACUACUAGUCCAAACUAGAUCCAGUUUGGAUUAGUAGUAUACUUUUGACAUGCACCACAUAUUGCCUCCACUUGAACCUAAUCCACCUUCAUUUGACACACUGGACAUAAUGAUGUAAACCUCAUAACUGGUAUUGUACCAAUAUUUGUACGAUGGAGAGAAAACCGCAUAAAUACACUGAAAAUAAAAAAAUAAAAAAUGAAUACUAGUAGCGAUGGACAGAAAACGCGCUGCCACUAGUUUCAUUAGUAGUAGCGUGGGGGUGAACAAAAACUACAACUAUUCGUCCUAGUAGUAGCGCGCCCCUGCAUGCGUCACUACUAAGCAAUGGCUGUAGCGCCUUAUUAGUAGCGCGCCUACCCGCGCUACUAGUGACCACAAAACCAGCGCUACUGCUAGGAUUUUCCCUAGUAGUGUCUAUCUGCUAUGAAUAGGAGGAUGCAGUGGUAGCGCUCCAGCUACCACGGAAGAGAAGGGACUGCUGCCUUCGAGAGGCAUCUUCCUUCCGCCCCACCUCCCGCCAUCGCGUGAAAACCUGCUGAAAGUUCCACCAGGAAGCACCCCCUAAGGUGAAGGAAAAACAAGAUGGAACCACUAAGUCAUAAUAUUGAAUAAUGAUGUA